UUACGUUAACUUUGAUUUGAGCCUGACAAAGUAAUAUUUCAGAAUUAAAAACAUUUACAAUUUAUUUCAGCGAGUCUGGAGGACAGAUGGAAAGUAGUACUUUUGUCGACAAUUGGUACAUCAUUUGAUGCUCCUUCAUCUCUACACCAAAUUCAUCGAUCAUAGUGGGUAGCAGGUGACAGCUUGCGAGCCACAUACCAGCCUAUUAUCAGAUAUUAGUAGUAGGCAACCUUCAUAUGGCCCCAC